rnacentral:tmRNA from 1 species
GGGGGCGACACGGUUUCGACGGAAGCUGUGGCGACCCGAAGGCAUGCCGGGCGCCACCUGCCCGCAAUCGGGUGGAAAAAUAGAACUGCCAACACUGAGUUGGCUCUGGCUGCCUAGAAAAACCUAGCGUAGCCCGUCUCCCCGAGCUUUGCCUACGGGCUCGGAUCGAGGCGUCGCACAGUGGGCUGGCCGGCGGACCUCGGUCCGUGGUUUUCCGGCGAGAUCAAUCGGACUAGCCGGCAGCGCGUCUUGCGCGUUCCUAGCGCAGCUGGCGAACCAAAUCGAAUGCGAUAAGCAUGUAGGCUUCGGGCCGUAGCGCUUUUCGGACGGGGGUUCGACUCCCCCCGCCUCCACCA